AUGGCCGGAUGGCCGCGCCCCAGCUGGGUUUUCCCGGUGGGGUGAGGAAAGUCCGGGCUCCACGGAGGCACGGUGCCGGGUAACGCCCGGCGAGGGACGGAGGCAACUCCGGAACCUUAGGGAAAGCGCCACAGAGAGAAGACCGCCGGGGUUUCCCCGGCAAGGGUGAAAGGGUGGGGUAAGAGCCCACCGCGUCCCUGGUAACAGGGGCGGCACGGCAAACCCCACCGGGAGCAAGGUCAGAUAGGGAUGACAGGGCACCAGCUCUGGGCCGCCUCCGGUCCGUCAUCCGGGUAGACCGCACGAGGCCGCGGGUGACCGCGGUCCCAGAUGAAUGGCCAUCUCCGGUCCUGCCUUCGGGCGGGGCCGGGACAGAACCCGGCUUACAGGCCAUCCGCGCCU
rnacentral:RNase_P_RNA from 1 species